rnacentral:rRNA from 1 species
UAAUACGUAGGGUGCAAGCGUUAAUCGGAAUGACUGGGCGUAAAGGGUGUGUAGGCGGUCUGCUAAGUCUGAUGUGAAAUCCCCGGGCUCAACCUGGGAACUGCGUUGGAAACUAGCAAACUAGAGUACGUAAGAGGGGGGUGGAAUUCCACGUGUAGCAGUGAAAUGCGUAGAGAUGUGGAGGAACACCGAUGGCGAAGGCAACCCCCUGGGACGAUACUGACGCUGAGGCACGAAAGCGUGGGGAGCAAACAGGAUUAGAUACCCUGGUAGUCCACGCCCUAAACGAUGUCGACUAGUUGUCGGGAUUAUUAUGAUCUCGGUAACGAAGCUAACGCAUGAAGUCGACCGCCUGGGGAGUACGGUCGCAAGAUUA